rnacentral:tRNA from 1 species
AUCACGUGGUGUGGAACGUCACGCCCGCGCUGCACACGCCGCUCAUGGCGGUGACCAACGCCAUCUCGGCGAUCGUGAUCGUCGGCGCGAUGC